UUUCGUCUGUCGGACUGGCUUGGGUCGGCAUUUCCUGAACCGAUAAAUUUGUGCCUCGGGCUUGGAAAUUCUGUGUGUGCGCGUGACGUCUCGCGCAGACGUCCCCAAAGCGCAGUGACCUUGCCCACCUGUCCCAGUAGGGUUCAGGGAUCAACGCUCAAUCCGGUUCCGGCAGACACCUC
rfam:Thiomonas bhubaneswarensis strain DSM 18181 genome assembly, contig: Ga0061069_108